GCAUCAGAGGCCGAAAAGGCUCGGCAGCAGCCUGUAAAGCUGCGGCUCGCCGCAGGCGAGCGUGGAGGUUCGAGUCCUCCCUGAUGCA
rnacentral:tRNA from 1 species